AGUGAACGCUGGCGGUAGGCCUAACACAUGCAAGUCGAACGGCAGCACAGUAAGAGCUUGCUCUUACGGGUGGCGAGUGGCGGACGGGUGAGGAAUACAUCGGAAUCUACUUUUUCGUGGGGGAUAACGUAGGGAAACUUACGCUAAUACCGCAUACGACCUACGGGUGAAAGCAGGGGAUCUUCGGACCUUGCGCGAUUGAAUGAGCCGAUGUCGGAUUAGCUAGUUGGCGGGGUAAAGGCCCACCAAGGCGGCGAUCCGUAGCUGGUCUGAGAGGAUGAUCAGCCACACUGGAACUGAGACGCGGUCCAGACUCCUACGGGAGGCAGCAGUGGGGAAUAUUGGACAAUGGGCGCAAGCCUGAUCCAGCCAUACCGCGUGGGUGAAGAAGGCCUUCGGGUUGUAAAGCCCUUUUGUUGGGAAAGAAAAGCAGCAGGUUAAUACCCCGCUGUUCUGACGGUACCCAAAGAAUAAGCACCGGCUAACUUCGUG
rnacentral:rRNA from 1 species